rnacentral:lncRNA from 1 species
AAGAGUGAAAGAGUGUUGUGUGCUUUUGCUGAGUUUAGGAUGGUGUCAAUUGUGCCUCAGGAGAAGAGUUUAGACAUUCUGUCCUGAUGAAUGUAAUCAAGUCUUUAUUUCAUGGUUUCUCUUAACGCAAAUACGUACAGGUUCAUAUUCGUCGAUGAGGGUGAGAGGAAAACUAUCGCCAACAGAAAGAAUCCAGAUAGGAAGAGAGAAAAAGAAAGACCAGAGAUGGAUUUUGUGUCCUUUUUAAAACAGCCUCAAUCACCUGAUUCCUCCCUGCCACUUCUCUGCAAAUGAUAGAGUUCACACAUCUAUAAUUCUCUCAUAGGUUCAUGUGGGCUGCUCCUCAUAACCCUGCUCAAACACUACUGAGGCAUCAGGAUCUUCAAGAUUCAUAAUCACAUAACAAUUGUUUUGAGCUGAAGACAGCAGAAGAACAUAAGGAUACCCUGUACUUCUCAGGAGGAUAGGAACAUCAGAUUUGGAAUGGGUAGGUCACAGGAAUUUCUCCAGAUGAAUUAUGCUGAUGCUUUUCCUUGCAGGGUGCUUUGGUGGGCUCUUCUGGGGACAAAAGAAAGCACAACAAAAAAAGGAAAUAAAUGGCAUAUGCAAACCC